ensembl:lncRNA
CCGAGUAGUUCUUCACCAGUCUUUUCCAUGUCAAGAUCAGCACUGAGUAUGAAAGUAUUGAUUUUCAAAAUGCAUAUCAAAUUUACACAUUUGCCACUAGCCAGUUUAUCACCACCUGCUAUCUUGUAUUCAAUUCUGUUACACAAGAGUGUAAAUUAAUGCGGAGUGCAAUCCUCGUAAUUAUUAUAGUUGGGGAGCAAAUGGGGCUGUGCAUAUGCAAGUAUCUAAUUAGCCACGUAAUGGUCGCAUACACGUGAAAAUACCCUGUUCAACUAUGAAAUCGUACCGACUGCUUCAGCUUAUACAACGGUGUGUAUAGUUGCCUUCCUUGCAUAAGGAGAAUUAGGCCUUCUGUUUUUAAUAAUACUGCACCAUUCUGUUCAAUUCUGAGCCCUUAAUCUUGCAUCACAGUAGAACACUCCGGUAGCAACAAAUAAUUGUGUGUUUUUCACACUUUCCAUUUUGUAAAAUGCUACUUCCUGACCUCUGUGAAAUGCAUACAGUGGGCUACUUUGAUGUAUAAUUAGAUUAAUCUUAACUAAAAAGUAUCCUGGUGUAGCUGUGACAGUAAAAAGAAUAAGAUUUUACCUACUCAGGAAUUUUAAUUUUCAGUUGUCUUUUCUCAUGAGAGCUCUGUUGUCUUAGUAUGUCACACAUAGUUUCACCACUUCUGUUUGUUUUAGACUGAGACAACUUGGCCUUAUUAGCUUCUUCUAUCCCCUUCAGUUUUGGUGGGGUCUCAAGUGCCUCCUUAGUUCUAUUGCAAAAGGAAGUCCUCAUAAACCACAUAAAGCCCUAAAAAAGCUGAGGGCAAAAUUGAAUGGAUCUUUGCUCUCAUUGGCUGCAUCUUCCCCUCAUGCAGUGCUGCCACGGGUGUCUAAAGCUCUGCAAAGGGAAAGAGAAUUGCAGGCUGCUGGCUCUCCAUGUCAGAGAGCAUGCAUUCACUCCCAGUACCUUUUCUGGAUCUGCCAAAUGUAUUGCUGGGAUUUCUAGGAUACAACAUCAUCAUUUCAGCACUUCUGUAAUUUACAGACAAAGAACUACGAAAUAGGAACAUAGCUAGGAGGAUUGGGCAUAGUAUGAAGUCAUGCUGUCUAAGGCUGGCCAGAUACUUGCCUUUCCACUCAACUUGUAGAGGCAAAUUUGCUCAUUUCUGAACGUUCUCUACUUCUUUUAGAUGAGCAUCAGCAAGACUGAUAAAAAAAUAGUUGGUGUGUUUUUACUUGGAACUUCUCUCCAAAAAAUGAGAAUUUACUUUGCUUAUAUAGAGUAAUUAAGAAUACUCAUACUCAAUAAUUAAUUUGGGGGUUAAUUUUACCUCUCCCCCCUCUCCCAAUGCAGGCAUCUGCAUACUUCUGUACAUGCACAUAUGCAUACUCCAUUAAAAUUACAUCAGCAUAAGUAUGAAUAUCAUGAACCAAAAGUUUGGCAUCCCUACUAUAGUGACAGCUGACUGCCACCUAUGGGCAGGAGUUCAUGUUAACAUAUUUAGCUAGAAUUUUAAUAUUAUUCUUUGCAAUUAAUUCAAUUUGUAAUUGUUCUAGUAGGACAGAGCUUCAAUUCAUUUGCUAUAUAUUUGUCCACGGCAAUCACUUCUCCCUCUGAAAACUGAAUAUUAAAACCAGCUUCUUUAUGAAGGGGAAUCAGCUUUGCGACGAUUAAAAAAAAUGGGGUAGGACGUUCUUAUUUCUGUUAUCUGAAUAAGGAAUAAAUAGAAGCACCCUACUUCUCCAAGCAAAGAAAAAUGACUCAGUGGUACACAGACAGGCACAUCAACAAGAUAAUGCUGUAUUUAAUGAUUACUGUAAUUUUAAAGUUUAGCCAUCUCAAGGUUGUAAUAUUUUGUUGACGGCCUUCUUUUACUAAAUACAUACAAAUAGGCUGGUUAUGCAGUCCCGUGAAAAUGUGUAUAUAAUUAGUAUGUCAUAGUAAUUCUCUAUUCAAAAAUUUUCAUUUUUCCGAGGAAAAUGAUGGCUAAAGUGGGGGAAGAGAAAGAAGAGCAGAAAAAUGUAUGGCUUGAUUAUGUAAGCCUUGAUUUUUCUGAUAAUCAGUGCUCAUUUACGAAAGAAAAAAAGCAAGUGCAGACUGAAAUGUCAAAUUCAUUGUAUUAAAAAUCGUGUUUCUAAUUCAGCUUCCAGGUACUUAAAAGCAAAUAGGCUGACAAUUCUGUCUAUUUGAUUACAAAUAACAAAAAUGCUCGACUACAGCUACUACAUCGUAGUAUGCUGCAGUAUAUCGUGCAGCCCUCAUCAUUUCUCAGAAAUAACAUACGUAAACAUAGCUGGAACAGUUUAGCGAAUUAAUACAUACAUUUUCGUUUGGGAAAAAAGAUCAUUUUACUUCAGUCAGCAGAAGGUAUUUGUAACCAUAACAUGCUUCCCUUUUUGGGGAAGGAGCGCAGAAUUUUUGAGGGAACAGAGACAGAAAUGAACUUUAAAAGGGGAAAAUAUGUUAAAAGAGACAGAAACUUACAGGAACUAAGAAUGAGUUUGAUAUGAUGAAUUUUUCAAGAUCCCCCUUUUAAAGUAAUUUUAUUUCUGGGCCUCCUCAUUUGUGUUCCACUCUGUUAAAUAUUUUUUUUGAGAUAGUCUGGUAAUUGUAAGUAUUACAUUUGUGCUCAUCUCAUGCGUUUUCACUAAGUUUUAUUUCUAAAGUUACGUCGUAAACUUGGGAAAUACUGUACAAGCAGCAUACACCAUUUUGGUAUCAGACGUUAUCACGUCGGCAUUUCAUGCUUACCCUCCAACAGCAUAAGCACCCUUUAUCAUCUAUGGAAUUCUGACAUUUAUGGUAAAAUAUUUGUACUCAGUACACAAAGGGAUUUUGAAACUUAAGUAACUGUGUUACACAGCAAUUUAAUUCCAAUACAUUUUGCUUCUUACUACUGAAUUAAGAUUGCAAAAACAGUCUGACUUUCUUGUGUCCGACCGGUAACAUUCCCUUGCAUUUUCAAACCACGGUUUAAACCGAACCCACUCAGACUCUUUGGAUAGAAACUUCAUAUCAGACAAAAAUUACUCUUUAGCACGUUUGAUGAAUCCAGCUUAAAACCAAACACAGAACUGCAUGAACAUCUGCGACAAACGACUCGCCUCGGCCAUUCUCUUCUUUCUUAUUUAAUCUCCCACUGGAGUACAGUUUAGUUGGUUUGCUAUUUUAUAGUGCAGAUCUCUCCCUCACCAACCUACUGCUUGCAAAAAAGAACUUUAAAAAUUUCCAUGUGUGAGAACAAAACCUGAGCAGAAUAGGGCUGCACCUUUUAAAAUGGGUACUAGCAGGGGAAGGGAAAGCAACGAACAAGCUAGCACUCCAAAUUUCCAGGAGUAACAAAAAGGGGGAAAAAAAUAUAGGAAAAAUGAAACUGAGGACUGUUAAACUAAUAGAUCAGUUACUAGAAUAUGAAACAGAACCGUCCUUUCCUGGUGAUGCUUCACUGACUUGCUGCUUGCAUACCCACACGAGUAUAAACUGAGAGCAAAAUUUUUCUUAAUGUAGGCAGUAUUACGAAUGUUGAGAUAUUCCUGUUUCAGUAUCUUUAAAUCUGAGGCCUUGUUAAAGAAGACGCUACUUGGAAAGAUCUCUGAGAUACCGGCAAACCCUGCUUGGUUUCUCCUGAUUUUCUUCCACAAAUGAUCUGUUUGAUAGACGGGGGAAAAAUAAAAGAGCAAAUAGCAGGCAAAGCACCUUUAAAGUGCUUGUUGUUACUUUUGUGCCUUUUACAAAAAGACGAGGAAAAUUCCACUUCCCAAGUAAAGAAAUACAGAGCAGUGUAACAUCAUAGCUUUAGAAACUAUUCUUUCUGUUUUUCACACAUCACCUCAAUUUCACCCGAAUGCUGCUUAUACUGCGUAACACAGAUUUUACUUUACAUAAUAUCGCUUAGUGCCUAUAUGGAUUAUUUGUUACCUAAUAACUGUUAGAUUGGUCGUGAAUUUUUACUGUGCUAGGUGUUUUUCAGAACAUAGUUACAUGUCUGCAUUUUUUUGGACAAACUUUCAAAAUAUUACUGUAUUCUGGUCUAUUUCACCAUGAUUUAACACUGCAGGAGUGCAUCCAGAUAUUCAUAACACAAUACGCUUGUAGGCACAACUAAACAAAAAGCAGAUUAGCUUGUGAUGUAGUGGAAUGAGUGGGACUUUCUUCUAAUGGAGAAAAACCUGUUUGCUCAUAAUAAUUCCAUUUAUAGCUGAGAAAGGGAGCAAAGCACCUGGAACUGAGUCAGUGUGAAUUCCAGCAAUGCAAUGAGCUUCACAAAAGCUGUGGUUACCUUGUUUUUUAACUAACCACACUGAGCUGACAGCUAUUAACAGUAGCAAGGACUUGCAUAACGAGGACUUGAAGGAAAGCUUAGCACUAUCCAUGCCAGAGCGAUUUAAAGAGAAUGAAGGCACGUAUUUCUUUAUGAUGCAUUAUGUAACAACAUAGAGGGCAAUCUGAGACAUUUAAAAAGAUACGGGGACCCACAUAUAAUUUUACACUUGUUAUUUUAGAGUGCUUAUAACCCAAUGCUUAUGAAACACCUAACUUAGGAAUGUGAUCCUGUAAAAUGAGUUUAAAAUGUUUUUGAAGACGUGUUUUACGUUUUGUACGUGCUUAGAAAAGCAUAGUAGGUCCUACAAUUCAUUUUCUUCAAAAUUCUGCAAUGUAUGCAAUCUCAGAUAAAAUUGUCAAAAUCUAGGAUAGCUGGACCUUCUGGUUCACAUUAGUGUGAAGAGAAAACUGCUGUUGAGCUGACACGUUGAUAGAUUAUGAGUUCUGCUGAAGAAUAGCUAAAAAUGGUGAUUCAAUCUUGUCGCUACUAUAUAAAAAAAAUAACAGAAGUGGAGAUGUUACUCAUGAUAUCGUGUCUUUCAUCAAAACCCUAAAGGGUUCUGGUGCAUUGAACACGUUUUCCUUCUGAGAGCUUUUGGCUGUAUAAAAUAUCGGUGUAAGUAAAUGAAACUAAAUUGGCCUAUUUAAAAAACAAAUAGGAUGAGCUUUUGUGCCCUAAGUUUAUUUAAACAAGAAAAUAAAGAUUGGAAUAUAAAAAGACUGCCUUUUAAGGUGGUAGGUUCUUUUCCUUUUCAGUUUUUACAAUAGAGAUUCUGGUCUUGUAACGAUGAAAUGGAGAGCUGCAGGAUUAUGAAACAACUAAACACGAAGGGCAAAUCUGACUGGAAGAGACAGAGAUAUUAUUGCAAUUAUCUGAAACUUAGCUGGGUUAGUUCCUUCACUAACCUAAAUCAAUGCAGUUCCUCUGAAAUCAAUAGGGUGAUACAGAUUCAUCCAAAACAUACCUGGCAUGUAAGAUAAUGCGUCACCUUCUGUUAGGACACGUAAACAUAAACACAUGUGGAGAGGACUCUUUUCUAUAUAUCUCCUUAACCUUUAAAUACUCGAAACCGUACUUUUAGGAGAGGCAUUUAUGUACUUCUGCUAUUUUACUCCUAUAUCUCUGUUGGUAUGAAUCUCGUGUGGUCAUUUACACUAAAAUAAAGUCAGGUCCAAACGCUGACUUCAGUCCUCAGUGCUCCGUACUUAUCUGUGCUGCUGCAAAUCACCAGGAAGGGCUCAAGAUGGCAGGGAGCCGGGGCCUUGCUGGCUGCUGUCUUCCUCCCGUGAAAAUCACCGAGCGCUCCCACUGCUCAUUUCUGAAUCACCCAAGGCGUCCUGCAACAACAGAAGGGAACCAAGACUUCACAAUCCUCAUCCUCACCGAUGGGAGAGCAGAUCUUGUCACGUGACUCUGAAGUAGAGCAAGGGUUGCAGCAGACUUCAACUUUCAGUCCUACAUUGCUUGUUCAAGAAAGGUCUAGAGAAGAAAGUCCUAAAUAGCAUGGUGAAUUAAAAAAAAAAAAAAAAAAAAGAUAAUUGCAGGAGUAUCAUCACAGAAUGGCCUGGGUUGAAAAGGACCACAAAGAUCAUCCAGUUUCAACCCCCUGCUAUGUGCAGGGUCGCCAACCACCAGACCAGGCUGCCCAGAGCCACAUCCAGCCUGGCCUUGAAUGUCUCCAGGAAUGGGGCAUCCACAACCUCCUUGGGCAACCUGUUCCAGUGUGUCACCGCUCUUUGUGUGGAAAAACUUCUUCCUAAUAUCCAACCUAAACCUCCCCUGUCUCAGUUUAAAACCAUUCCCCCUUAUCCUAUCACUGUCCACCCUUGUAAACAGCCGCUCCCCUUCCUGUUUUUACUCUCCCUUCAAGUACUGGAAGGCCACAGUGAGGUCUCCCCAGAGCCUUCUCUUCUCCAAACUAAACAAGCCCAGUUCCCUUAACAUUUCCUCAUAGGAGAGGUGCUCCAGCCCUCUGAUCAUCUUAGUGGCCCUCCUCUGGGCCCGCUCCAAGAGUAGUAAGUCAAUAGCUGAAAAGUGAUGUGAAAAAGAAGGCAGCUAGAAGAAAUAAAGGAUUUCUUAAAACCACUCCCACCCAGCAAUGCUGUUUCUUGUAUCUUUAGUUUCAUCUGCUUCUCGAAGUCUAUCUUGCCAAAUAUGCCUACCUUUCAAAAUUACUCCAGCUUCGGAAUGAAAGUGUCAGCAGUUGCAAGACUCUUGAGGGUAUGAUUAUCUUAUUUCCUGUCUGUCUAUUACAUUUAAACAUCUGCCAAACUGGAAAGGUCAUUUUUCUACUAUGACUCUGGAGUACACUUAAUGAGACUCUUGUUACUGACUGACCUCUUGUACCUGGAGAGAUUAAACAUCUUGGACAAGUUUUCAUUGCUUGAAUCUGUGCCAAAUCCUUUUAAUGCGUGAAGGACUCGAUCACUUUUAAACCAGUGGUAUAGAGCAAACAAGCUUCGGUCUGAUGCCAGGGGGCUGCUUGAUUUUUGCAGUAACAAAACAGAAACUUAUAAGCACCUUGGGUACAGCAAAAGAAAAUAUAUCUGUGCUGAUCUUUGUCAACAGUCUCAUCAGAUUGCUAGGAACGUCCCUCCUACCAGGCUACUUUGCAGCUGUGAAUGAAAGCUCAUUAUCCGUGGCCAGUGCUUACCAUAAGAAGCAUAACCUUAGCUUUCAAAAUAAGGGACUUUUAAAGUAUUUAUGUUGUUAAAAUUGAAGUAAAUCAGAUCAUGUUGCUGUGUUGCUUUUAGCAACUUGCACCUACUCUACUUCCAUCGUACUUAGUGAGAUUUUUCAGCUACAUUUAAAGACUAAGUCUAGAAUGGAGCUCUGUUUAUGAAACACUGGCUAUUAAUGUUUCACAGCAUUUGGCAAUGCUGGUUUUUCUGAUUAUAUUCAACCUUGCUGAACAGGAAUGUUUGCAUCAUUUAAGAGCAAUUUUUUUUUUUUUUUUUGCACUGCCUGUAUUUUGUAUCUUCUCAAACAAAGAGAUGAUGACAGAUGAUGCCUCAAAGAUAAGUAACAUUCUACUAUAUGACCUCUGCCUACAAAAAGCACAGCUUCCCUGGAGAAGACGAUCCCUAUGCCUGAGACAACACUGCUUGUGAAUUCCUAUGCUGAGUGAAUUUCAAAGUUCUAGUUUCCCUACUUUGGGCAGCCACAUCACUCUUCUGUUUUCCUGCAGGAAACAUUGGACUGAGAUUCAUAGCCUUGUUCAUGCUUCCCCAUAUCUUACGUUUUUCCACUUAGAGAGUUUGGUGUCAGCAAAAUCAAAGAAAAUCUCUGAAUAAUUGGCAUUGAUAUAUUCUAUUUUUUUUUUUGUCACUAUGCUAUUUGCAAAAUGAUUGUCAAUGCAGUACAUGAUCUUUUGUCAAAAAACCCUGCAGUUAAAAGUUUCAUUUAUUACACACUGACUGAAGCUUAUACCUAUCUCAGCUGCAUUUAAUGCUACCUUUGUGUUGUUAAUUAAUCUGAAAAGAGUGAAGGCAAUCUCAUUUUUUCCAAAAGACUGUAAAUGGCCUCUUGUAACCGUUUAGCAGAGAAUGACCUCCUACAAGCUCCUUUUGCUGCAUCUGCACAAUGCUGCUGAGAGGGAACUGCUGGUUGCAAAGAGGAAAUACAGCAAAGCUGGACAGUUGUACUGCAGCCCAGAGAGAAGUGCUGUGUAAUGCCAGUAUAACUAGAAAGAUGAAGUCCUCUGCAAACCAACUGUUGAGUGUCAGCAGUUCAUGCUAGCAGAACUUCUGCCAGUAAAACUGCCUUCCUCUCAAACAAGGCCAGCAACAAAAGCACACAGAAAGAUACAGGUUUAUGGGAAUAUCUGUAGGGUGCUGGUGAGGAGGGCAACUGGGCUCUCUCCUUGACUCUUACACUGCUGUCCCUGUACAAACAGCUCCAAGGACGCCUGCCCACCAGGGUCCUGAUGCCAUGUGCCUGGCCACUGCUGGGCUUGUUUGAACCAGAAAGUUUUACUGGCAGAAGUUCUGCUGGCAUGUGCUGUAGCCAUUGCUGUGUUGGCAGGAUGCGCCACAUUUGGCUGUUUUUAAAGAUGCAAGAUGUCCUCAGAACAUCAGGCUUUUAUCAGCAGAGGAUGACAGCAUUAUGGAAUGCUAACCCAGAUUACCUUGUGCAAUGUUUGGUAGGUUGCCUUCUGGUAAUUACUUGCAGCAUAUUGUGGAGCUGCUGUUGUAUAUUGUGAGAUACCAUCAGUUCCAUCAUAAAAUCUGUGUAAAUAUUGGGUCAGAUUUUCAAAAAUUUUUCGAUCUUGUGCAAUUGCCUAUUUUUACAUGUGCUGUUUUCCCAUAUUGCAGAUUUCUCAUUGCCAGAACCCCAGAUUGUAUCAAACAGCAUCACUCUCUUGUUCAUUUAGGGCAGAUGUAAGCAUUCUUUCUUAUCUAAAGAGCAGCCUAAAGUAUUGGGUACUGGGGACAAGUGGAACAUAGAGACAGUGAAUAGAAGCUGUUUGCAGUAAGUGUUUGCUAAACUACUUUACAAGAACAACUUGUAGUUUUGAUCCAUACUGUGAGCACUGGAAGAGAGAAACAUUCAGUGUUGGAUGUUAAACCCAUGCCAACAUAUCCACUCUGAUUUAGGAGCUGCUUAAUGAGGAGACAGGAGAACUAGGUGGUGCCAACUUUUUGGAAAGCUGUGCUGAUGUGGGCAUUUUGGCAUUACUUGGGGAGCUAUCUCCAGUGAGGUACAUAAAGUUAAGUUUUUCCUGCUGCACACUCUUUUUAUGCUGGGUGACAUACUGAAAAUAAGAGAUGAACCUGAUGCAAUGGACUUUGCUAGCUGUGGGGGAACAGUAAAUAAGGUUUAUAUCCAAUUCUGUCCUAUCUUGUUUUGAAUACAUAAAAUGAAAGCAGUGCUUCUCCAUGGUGAUCUCUCUAGACAGUAUUUUACAUCAGUGUUGCUUGGGAGAAAGUCCAUGCUUGCCUCCCCAUCUAUCCUGUUGUUAUUAAUGAUGUUACAUAGCCAACUCUGGCAACAGAGACAAGGCAGGUUUGGCAAACUGUAGGUAAAAAAAACAAAACAUUGUAACAGGAAAAAAUAACAGAAUUAUCCACCAAGUCACAAAACUCUGUAAUUUUGUAGUCUCCUGCAACAAAGAAACAAACAAACAAAAAAACACAUAGGGUUUCACAGGGUUCCUUCAUUUGCUGAGUGUAAUUUUGUCCUUUCCAAAUUCAGUGCAAAGUCAGUUAUAGGGUUUUGGGUUUUCCCAUGAUGCUUCCAGGUAUUACAGACACGUGCAUUGCAUAAGUAGCCCUUGUAUACAUAGAAUAUAUAGAUGGCUGGAAGAUUCCUAGAGCUUAGAGACCACAGGUAUGUGUGGAACCUGCAGAUCUGCAUAGAAAGCCACACAUGUAACCAGAGUACCUGCACAAUGACCCUGACAUGGUAUGGACAUAUAGCACCUGUGGUUUGCAGGCAGGCAGCAUACAUUCAGUAAGUGCAGUGUGUUCUGGACACAUCCAUUUUAUCACACGUUCACAGAUACUCUGCUUAACACAUGCACAGAAGAUCUGGCAUGUCUGUGUAUGUGCUGGGCAGCACAUGGACUGAUAAUUCUGUGUUAGAUUUCAUGGCUAUAAUUCAGAAAGUCCAAGCUGAACUAUUUAUUGAAAACAUAUACUCAUUUGGAACUGCUGUUCCUAAAAAUCAUCUGAAGCAACUUGAGUUUGUUCCAAUGAUACUACAUUUUACUGGUUUAAAGUAAGUGUGUUCUGUAAAUGAUGAAAGUGCUCACUCAUUGAUUUGCAAAUGCCGUCUUUGUGAUCUGUGAAAGUCCUGGUUUUGACUUCUUGGACUUUCACCCGAUACUGACAUUUCAAUAUUCUUAAAAUACAUUUCCCCUUUCCUCCCACCAGCAGCUGAUAGAUACAAUGUGAUAGGAGAAUGUGUUAGGAGGAAAGGCAAGGAAUGCUUAUUUAUAAACUUUUGACAAAGUAAACCCCAUCACUAUGUUAAUGGACCAGCCAUAUCACAGUGAAUACCCUUCCUGAAUCAGCUACCUGUUUGGGGAGCUUCCUAAGGGGUUCUGUAUCUCAUUAGUUUUUACUCUAGCUAUGCCUUCUCCCCAGAAACCCAUUCAAUUUAUCCUUUUCUUAGUAUCCUUCACCAUGGACAUAUGUCAAUGAUGAGAGCAGUAUCCCAACUAUUAUGCCGUCUAAUGAAUGCACAAUCAUAGUGAGGAGUGCAUGACAAGCUGGUCAUAAAAGGAACACCUUGGGGGAGUAAGCUUAGGGAAUUUAUUGCAGGAAGAGAAACUGCCUUUUAUUCUUCUUCACCUGACACUAGUUCUUAUCUCUACUUUUAGGUUUUCUGUUGGUGGUGGCUUCCACUACCUUACCAUUUCCCUUCUUUCUGCAAAGAUGAAAUCCCGCUGAGCCUUCUCUCCUCUAGGCUGGAUACUCCCAGCUCUCAACCUUUCCUCAUAGGAAAGAUGCUCCAGUCCCUUAAUCACAUUAGUGGUCCUUUGCUAUAUGUAUGUCUAUAUGUCCAAGUCCAGUAUGUCCAUGCCUUUCCUAUACUGGGGAGCCCAUGACUGGACCUAGUACUCCAAGUGAAGCCUCACCAGUACCCAGCACAGGAGAAAAAUCACCUCCCUCAACUUACUGGCAACACUCUUCCUAAUGCAGCCCAGGAGGCUGUUGCCCUUCUUUGUGGCAAGGGCAUAAUGCUAGCUCAUGUUCAAAUUGGUGCCAUCAGAAUCCCCACGGUUUUUUCUGCCAAGUUGCUAUCCAGCCAGUAGGCCCCCAGCAUGCUGUGGUCCCCCUGUGUGGGACUUUAUAUUUUCCUUUUUUG